GUCACAGUGGUGCAGUGGUUAGCACUCCUGUCUCACAGCAAGAAGGUUGUGGGUUUGAAUUCGGCCUGGGGCC